rnacentral:other from 1 species
UCAAUCCUGAUGUGUACGUCUUAUAUAAAUGUUUUGACCGAACAUCUAUAUAAUUGGGAGCUUGUAUCGUUUCCAUGUUGCAUGCAUGCCUCGCUUAAUUGAGGACGCAUAAAAGAUAUGGAACAGAGCACCCACCUGCUGAAAGCGGGAUCAAAACUAGAAAUAGACGGCACGAUUGGGAUUGAU